GUCCCAGGUGUGCCCAGGUGUGUCCCAGCUGUGUCUCACCUGUCCCAGGUGUGCCCAGGUGUGUCCCAGCUGUGUCUCACCUGUCUCAGGUGUGUCUCACCUGUCCCAGCUGUGCCCAGGUGUGUCCCAGCUGUGUCUCACCUGUCCCAGCUGUGUCUCACCUGUCCCAGGUGUGUCUCACCUAUCUCAGGUGUGUCUCACCUGUCCCAGCUGUGUCUCGCCUUGAUGAAGGCGUAGCCGGCGCCGUUGUUGGUGAUGGUCAGCCCCAGCUGUGCCCAGCUGUGCCCAGGUGUGUCUCACCUGUCUCAGGUGUGUCUCCAGGUGUGUCUCACCUGUCCCAGCUGUGUCUCACCUGUCUCAGGUGUGUCCCAGGUGUGUCUCACCUGUCCAGGUGUGUCUCACCUUGAUGAAGGCGUAGCCAGCGCUGUUGUCGGUGAUGGUCAGCCCCAGCUGUGCCCAGGUGUGUCUCACCUGUCCCAGGUGUGUCUCCAGGUGUGUCUCACCUGUCUCAGGUGUGUCUCACCUUGAUGAAGGCGUAGUCGGCGCCGUUGUCGGUGAUGGUCAGCCCCAGCUGUGCCCAGCUGUGUCCCAGGUGUGUCUCACCUAUCUCAGGUGUGUCUCACCUGUCUCAGCUGUGUCCCAGGUGUGUCUCACCUAUCUCAGGUGUGUCUCACCUGUCCCAGGUGUGUCUCCAGGUGUGUCUCACCUGUCCCAGGUGUGUCUCACCUGUCUCAGGUGUGUCUCCAGGUGUGUCUCACCUGUCCCAGCUGUGUCUCACCUAUCUCAGGUGU
rnacentral:lncRNA from 1 species